GACGAACGCUGGCGGCGUGCCUAAUACAUGCAAGUAGAACGCUGAAGGAGGAGCUUGCCCUUCUGGAUGAGUAGCGAACGGGUGAGUAACGAGUAGGUAACCUGACUGGUAGCGGGGGAUAACUAUUGGAAACGAUAGCUAAUACCGCAUAAGAGUAGAUGUUGCAUGACAUUUACUUAAAAGGUGCAAUUGCAUCACUACCAGAUGGACCUGCGCUGUAUUAGCUAGUUGGUGGGGUAACGGCUUACCAAGGCGACGAUAGAUAACGGACCUGAAAGGGUACUCUGCCUAGCUGGGACUGGAGGACGGCCCAGACUCCUGCGGGAGGCAGCAGUAGGGAAUCCUUGGGGAUGGCCGGAAGUGUGACCGUGCAACGCCGCGUUAAUGAAGAAGGUAUUCAGGUCGCAAAGCUCUGUUGUAAGUGAGGAUCGUAAGUGAGUGUGGAAAGUGCACACUGUGACGGUACCUAAACAGAAAGCGACGGCUAACUACGUG
rnacentral:rRNA from 1 species